rnacentral:rRNA from 1 species
AUUGAACGCUGGCGGCAGGCCUAACCCAUGCAAGUCGAACGAGUGGCGGACGGGUGAGUACUGUCUGGGAAACUGCCUGAUGGAGGGGGAUAACUACUGGAAAAGGAAGCUAAUACUGCCUACCAUCAGGUGUGCCCAGAUGGGAUUAUCUAGUUGGUGGGGUAACGGCUCACCAAGGAGACGAGCCCUAGCGGGUCUGAGAAGAUGACAAGACAAACGGGCACUUAGACACGGGUCAGAAUACUACGGGCGGCAGCAGUGGGGAGGAGUGCACAAUGGGCGCAAGCCUGAGGCAGCCAUGCCGCGUGUAUGAAGAAGGCCUUCGGGUUGUAAAGUACUUUCAGCGGGGAAGCGUUACACGCAGAAGAAGCACCGGCUAACUCCGUGCCAGCAGCCGCGGUAAUUC